rnacentral:rRNA from 1 species
GGCAUCAUUUGAUGUUAAAACUGAGGUGGGUAUAGGGAUGGGGCAUGCGUCUGAUUAGUUAGUUGGCGGGGUAAUGGCCCACCAAGACGAUGAUCAGUAGGGGUUCUGAGAGGAAGAUCCCCCCACACUGGCACUGAGAUACGGGCCAGACUCCUACGGGGAGGCAGCAGUAGGGAAUAUUGGUCAAUGGAUGCAAGUCUGAACCAGCCAUGCCGCGUGCAGGAAGAAGGCCUUCUGGGUUGUAAACUGCUUUUGCCAGGGGAUAAAAUUUCCAUGCGUGGAAAACUGAAGGUACCUGGUGAAUAAGCCACGGCUAACUACGUG